AACGACUCUCGGCAACGGAUAUCUCGGCUCUCGCAUCGAUGAAGAACGUAGCGAAAUGCGAUACUUGGUGUGAAUUGCAGAAUCCCGUGAACCAUCGAGUUUUUGAACGCAAGUUGCGNCCGAAGCUUUUAGCUGAGGGYACGUCUGCCUGGGCG
rnacentral:rRNA from 1 species